AUGAAGGGGGCCUUAGAUGAAUACAGGGAGGGAGUGAAGAAAGGAAUUACAGUGAGUGUGCACCUCUUAUCACGAGCAUGGGGUGUGCCACGAUCCACACUGCAAAGACGCAUCAGUGGAAAGGUGACUGGCAGUGAGCGGAAGCCCUACCUUCCAGAGGAGGCGGAAAGGGAGCUUGCUGCCACCCUCAAGACAUUGGCACACAGGGGGUUUCCCUUCACAAAACGUGAUGUCCAGCAAGUGGCCUUUGAUUUUGCAGCCAAGAACAACAUAUCUGGUUUCUCCAAGACAGGAGGGAGGGCCGAAUAUUACUGGUUUCAGAACAUUCUAAAGCUCAACCCAGAGCUUGGGAUGCGCAAGCCAGAGGUCCUGUCUGCAGCACGGGCUGCUGGACUCAACAAAGAGGUGGUUAACCAGUGGUUUAACCAGUAUGAGAGCCUUUUGGUCGAGCUGGGUAUUGAGGGCACACUGUCACAUAUAUGGAACUGUGACGAGUCUGGGCUUCAGGACCAGUUCAGUUCGACAAAGGUCGUUGGACAGGUUGGCCAGCCAUGUGUGGAGGUGUGUGCCGGAGAGAAGGGGGAGACAACAACCUGUCUGGCAGCGUUCAAUGCAGAAGGCACAUACAGUCGUGUUCGUUCUGAGUGGCUACAGGGAUGCCUGGAGAACACCAGCGUAAGGUGUUCUGACAAUGGCUGGAUUGCCUCUGACCUCUUUCUGGAGUGGGGUCAAAUGUUCAUUCAGUCCCUCCCCAGGGAUGACCCCAGGCCCCACCUUCUCCUCUUUGACGGGCACAGUAGCCACGUCUAUAACCUGGAGUUUAUUAAGCUACUGAAGAGCAAGAAAGUGCACAUCAUGUGCUACCCUGCCCACACAACCCAUGCGCUGCAACCGGCAGACAAGGCCCUCUUCAAGAGUCUAAAACACCACUGGGACCACGAAGGGAGGAAGUGGACAAGGAUGAUGGCUGGGCAGAAGCUGUCAAGGAUGGAGUUCUUUGCGGUGUUCAGCAGGGCUUGGGCAAAGGCUGCCACUAUUGAAAAUGCCCAGGAAGGGUUCCGGGGGACAGGGAUGUUCCCUCUCAAUAAAGAUAUUCUCCCUGAGACUGCUUUUGCCCCCAGCAAGACCACCGAAAGACUGCUACCAUCCACUCCACCAUCAGGCAUAUGUGGUAUUGUAUUAUUGUCCCAAACGAUUUACCAAAAAGUGGCCCAAUUUAGCUGA
rnacentral:lncRNA from 1 species